rnacentral:rRNA from 1 species
GUCCAUGCCGUAAACGAUGAUUACUAGGUGUUGGAGGAUUGACCCCUUCAGUGCCGCAGUUAACACAAUAAGUAAUCCACCUGGGGAGUACGACCGCAAGGUUGAAACUCAAAGGAAUUGACGGGGGCCCGCACAAGCAGUGGAGUAUGUGGUUUAAUUCGAAGCAACGCGAAGAACCUUACCAGGUCUUGACAUCCGAUGCAUAGUGCAGAGAUGCAUGAAGUCCUUCGGGACAUCGAGACAGGUGGUGCAUGGUU